rnacentral:rRNA from 1 species
GACGAACGCUGGCGGCGUGCCUAAUACAUGCAAGUCGAGCGGUCCCUUCGGGGAUAGCGGCGGACGGGUGAGUAACACGUAGGCAACCUGCCUGUAAGACCGGGAUAACUAUCGGAAACGAUAGCUAAGACCGGAUAGCUGGUUUUCUCGCAUGAGAGAAUCAUGAAACACGGGGCAACCCGUGGCUUCCCGAUGGGCCUGCGGCGCAUUAGCUAGUUGGUAGGGUAACGGCCUACCAAGGCGACGAUGCGUAGCCGACCUGAGAGGGUGACCGGCCACACUGGGACUGAGACACGGCCCAGACUCCUACGGGAGGCAGCAGUAGGGAAUCUUCCGCAAUGGACGCAAGUCUGACGGAGCAACGCCGCGUGAGUGAUGAAGGUCUUCGGAUCGUAAAGCUCUGUUGCCCUAGACGAACAGCAAGGAGAGUAACUGCUCUUUGUGUGACGGUAUAGGAGAAGAAAGCCCCGGCUAACUACGUGCCAGCCGCCGCAGUAA